AACAGUAAGUCAACGAAAGUUGCGCAACGUAAUUACGCCAAAGCGUAUAUUUCUUAACAAUUGUAACAAUUUUAAUUUGCCGCCGCAAGUCCCAAUACCUAUCUUUGAUAAUGUGACACCCGUUUCUAGUAAAAAUUGGCAUGAAAACAAUGUGUCCACAAAAGAAAAUCAACGUCAUCCAACCCCUAAGUUUUACAAAGUUUUACGUAAAACUAGAGCCUUACAUAAAAAAUACAAAAUGGCGAUGGUAAAAUUACUAAAAGACGCUAGAUCUUGGUUUAAAAAAAUAUGCAAAUUUUCGGACGAAGUGGAUAAAGUUCCGAUUAACAAUUUGCAUGACUUACAAAAGAACCAAGCAUCAAACAACAACGAAAUGUUUCAGUAUAUAAAACAAGAAAUAGAAGAGCUCAAAAUAAUGAUCCAAGAUUUAAAAACAAAUGAAGAUAUAGCGUCAAAAACAAAAAUGGAAACUGUUCCUAUUAUAACAAUAACACCGUCAUUACCUGAACGCCCUUUGCUACGUUCGACAAAUAUGGCAGCAGCACCUCCUCCACCACCACCACCACCGCCCCCAAUUUUGGUGCCAAGCAACCGACCACCAAUCAUUGCUAAAGCAAGCGGGGACAGGAAUACAAAUAAACAAAAACAAGGAGAAAUGAGGCCUGCUAUUUCAUUGAAUGAUAUUUUAAGUGUGAAGCUACGUAAACCAUGUGAACGUUCGCAAACUUUGCCUAAAUCAAAUUCCUGUCGUAUAUUACGAGGACCGGUGGUCACACUGGACGCUUUAAAACAAGUACGUCUUAAGCCAGCAUCGAAGAUUUCCACAUCUUUAUGUGCUGAUAGCAUCAACUCACCCAUCGGAAAUGUUAGCAAUAGUCCCGUCUCAAGUCUGAAACGUUUGCUUACCAAUGGAGUUUCAUCCGAAAGUCGCCCCAAGCGAAUGCGACACUGUUAUUCAAAAACGAGUGCAAUAGAUCGCGAACGAUUCACUGAAAAUUGAAAUUUAAGUGAAUGAAUUUAUCUUAUUUAGAUUUUCGCAAAGCGCACAUAGAUUUUAAGAAACAUACCUUAUUUAUGAAGAUUAUUUAUUACGAAAGCUAUGACAGCUUGAACUUAGUUCUGUUAAAAAUUGGUUUUAAUCAUAAUUAGAUUAUAAUUGUUGUUGUAGUGCGUCACAUUUACUUCUCCCUUCGUGGAGAAGUCAAACUGUUGACAAAUGCUGAGUUAUCUUAUAUGUAACGGAAUAUUAUCGAUUUGUUAAACAAAUGUGUCGUAAUAUUGUCGAGUUUACUAGUUAUUGUUAGAAGUUUUUUUUAUCAAUUUAUUGCAUAAAUAAAAUUUAAAUUUAA